rnacentral:lncRNA from 1 species
ACUAACAAUAAAAUUGUCCGUGAGUACAAGUCAAUUGCAGACUUUGUCAGUGGGGCUGAAUCAAGGACAUACAACCUCCCUUUCAAGUGGGCAGGAACUAACCAUGUUGUCUACAAUGGCUCACUCUAUUUUAACAAAUACCAGAGUAAUAUUAUCAUCAAGUAUAGCUUCGAUUUGGGGAGAGUGCUUGCUCAACGAAGCCUGGAAUAUGCUGGUUUUCACAACGUUUACCCCUACACCUGGGGUGGAUUCUCUGACAUCGACCUAAUGGCUGAUGAAAUUGGGCUGUGGGCUGUAUAUGCAACUAACCAGAAUGCAGGCAAUAUUGUCAUCAGCCAACUUAACCAAGAUACCUUGGAAGUGAUGAAGAGCUGGAGCACUGGCUACCCCAAGAGAAGUGCAGGGGAAUCUUUCAUGAUCUGUGGGACACUGUAUGUCACCAACUCCCACUUAACUGGAGCUAAGGUGUAUUAUUCAUAUUCCACCAAAACCUCCACAUAUGAAUACACAGACAUUCCCUUUCAUAACCAAUACUUUCACAUAUCCAUGCUUGACUACAAUGCAAGAGAUAGAGCUCUUUAUGCCUGGAACAAUGGCCACCAGGUCUUGUUCAAUGUCACCCUUUUCCACAUCAUUAAGACUGAGGAUGACACAUAGGCACAUGUGAUUUAUUUUCAUUGAUCUAAACACUGUCAUUUGUGAUAAACUCAAUAGGAGCCCUUCUGUUUUUUUAUUAUAAUUUUCCAUCAUUUCUCCAAAACAGAACAUUUUUUAUUAUAAAUUUGGUGUUUCAAAAGUCUGCUGAGUCUGUCUAAAUUAAUGUGUUCAAAACACAUCUUAACCCCUGAAUUUACAAGGCCUAUCAUGUCAUUGUCAUCAAAAGCACUAAAAAGAGCUUAAGUGGCUAAAGUCAUAGUUUUGCAAAAGAUUAAUGAUCUGCCUUAUAUUAGAGUCAGAGACUAAUGUUGGCUUACAUGCAUGAAUGUCAUUUUCUUUUUAUUAAAACUGUCAUUUUUUUUUACUGUCUGUUGCUCCACAUCAGGAAAUAUUUUUGGUAGGAAUUAGGGUUAAGGAAAAAAAAAAAGCUUUUUCCCCAUUUAUUACUAAAAACGAUUUUGUUUGUAUAGAAAAAUAGUAUUAAUAAUUUUGCUGUUAACAGAAUUCUCUGAUGCGGUGCUGUACAGUCAUUUUUAAAUCUCUUGCUAACAUUUUAUUGGCAAUAUGUAUUUCUAUCAUUGUAACCACCACUGUGC